UCACUAACCUGGACGGGGUCAAUGGAAGAUCAAGAAGUUCCAUGGCCUAGGUUGGUGACCUUCAUUGCACUUAGGAGGGGUGCCCGCCUAAGGUCGGCCCAAGUGGUCGAGCCUACGUCAUAAUUUAUAGUC
rnacentral:snRNA from 2 species